rnacentral:snRNA from 1 species
UGAGUGAGGGCGAUCUGGCUGCGACAUCUGUCACCCCAUUGAUUGCCAGGGUUGAUUUGGCUGAUCUGGCUGGCUAGGCGGGUGUCCCCUUCCUCCCUCACUGCUCCAUGUGUAUCCCUCCUGAAGCUGCGCGCAGUCGGUCAAAGAGGACGACCUUCCCCGAAUAGAGGAGGGCCGGUCUUUGGUCAAGGGUAUAGGAGUAGCUGCGCUCCCCUGCUAGAACCUCCAAACAAGCUCUCAAAGUCCAUUUCUAAAGCCGCUCUUAGCAAAUGGUGAGGUUCAUCUAUUUCCAAAUCAUUUUCUAAAACACGUUAAAAGCAUUUGAACAAAUAUUUUU